CUUCGGGGUUCCUGGGUGUCACGCAGAUCUUGGUGGAACCUCCAAAUGAAAGACCUCCAUGGGGAUACCCCCACUCAAGUCACGAGAUAGCGCGCACCCAAAGAAUCAUGAGAGA
rnacentral:pre_miRNA from 7 species